UGUGUUGGGUUGCGUAACGGAUGGAUUUUACAGUUUGUUUAUAAAAUGAAGAGGCUACUAGGAGUAUUUAUCUUAUGUUCUGUAAUACACCAUAGCAUGGCUACGUGUGACGUGUCCUAUUGUGUUCACGUUUUAUACAGCACCAGUAGUUUAGCUGUCGACAAAAUUUGUCCGACUUUACGAUACGCAAUGAGUUGUCUGGAAAAUUUCGUUAAGAAAUGUGAACACGUUAAGAAUGAUACCGAUGAUGUAAAUGUUCGAGAAUUUAUGGAAGAAAGUCGAGACAAAAUAGAUGAAUUGUGCAACAUGCAAGAUGACCAAUUAAAUGGCGGGGCUGUGGUUGGACCAUUGUGGGGUUUGUUAUUAUUAGUGGUCUGUGUCCGCCUCUUCACCAACAGAAUUCUAUAGAAAAACAUGAUAAUUCUAGUUUCACUUUCAUUAAGACUCUCUACGUUUAUCGAACCAAGGGCAGAUAAUCUAAUCAAGAAUGAUUGUUGGAAAAGUGCAUUAUAAUCAAGACUAAUCAAACCCGGAAGUCAACACAGAACCUAGCUGUUCAGUGUUGUUAUGGAUAUCGCGUCUGAGUGCUGUGUGGAACUUUAAUAUAUUUUUUAUCUAAAACUAAUCUGGACGCAGAAAACUUUUUCUUAUGGGCUUAAAUCUGGUAUUGAUAAUCUAGAUUUACUAUGACCGAAAAUGUAAUCCGGAAGUUCAUAAAUCAUUUCUCACCUUUCUUGUCAUUGGCUGAUCCAAAAAUAUGUGACUUGUAUGGAUGAUUUUCCUGGUAACAGGUUCUGUGAGACGAUUGGCUGUUCCGAAGACACGUGACCAAUAUCGAUGAUGUCCCUAAUAGCAAGUCUUUUUAGGCUUUUACGGAAACACGUGAUCAAUAUGGACGCUCUCCCUGAUUACAGUGAUGACACCAUAUAAACGAAUAAGACCAGAUCAAUGACGGUGUCUGGAGCUUUCAAAACCCUUAUGACAUACGUCGUAAAAGAUCCUUUCUUUGUGAUCCUUAUAAGCUCCGUCUACACUACUAAAUAUUUGUUUGCUAACAUCACCGAACAACAUGUUUGGCCAUGUUUGCAAAUAAAAGAUUGACAGUGUAGACUGGCCUUUAGAUUGUAAAUAUUCAUGUUAUGUUUUGCCCCGAUCGUGAGCCUAAAGCCCCGUCUACACUACCAACAUUUGUUUGCUUCCAUCACCGAAGAUGUUUGAAAACAAAAUAUUGGCAGUGUAAACUGACCUUUAGAGUGUAUAUAUUUAUGUUUUAUGUGACCACGAUUGUAAGCCUUAUGCUCCUACGCGCAAGCGAAUUAUUGAAGGAAGUAAAAGUAAACCAUGUGUUAAUCCCGAAAUGAUAGCUUGUAUCGAGUGGACGUUACCCCCCUCCCCCCUCUCUCUCUCUCUCUCUCUCUCUCUCUCUCUCUCUCUCAUUUGUAAACGAAGGAAAUAAAAAAUCUCCGAUCGUCAUUUGUAGAAUCGUUAAUCAUCCGCAAACUGUAAUACUGGUAUCGAUGGACCCCCAAAAAGGUAUAGUGGUUCAGGGGACAACAUAUAUUCGUUCGGAUGGGACGAAAAACCGAGGUCCCCUUACACAUUAGCGUGCACAUAAAUGAUCCCUUGACAGUUGGAAUUCGAUAUAAGAGUAGGCCGUAGCGUCGCUGUCCGGGCACAAUUUCCCUCAUAGCACACUGUAUGGCGUAUGCCCGUCUUCAUUACCCCAGUCAGUGCACUAUGAACCGAGGUUUGACUGAUUACUAAAGUCGGUACGAUAAAAAACAUAGUCUCGAUUAUCCAUUUCAUGAUUUAAUCAUGAAUGGAAGUCGAACAUCAAAUCGGAACCUAAUCCAAUAAACAUCGAGAGUUAAUUAAUGUCUAAUUUUUAGGCCUAAUGAAAGACAUGCAAUAGGCAUAUUUAGCUCUUGCAUAAUGUAUGUUUAAACGGGGAUAAUCGAGACUAUGUUAUUUAUCGUACCGACUUUAGUAAUGAUUAUCGAAGCUAGGCCGAAAAUGCAAUCGCUAAAAUCUCGGUUCAUAGUGGGCCAAUUUGACUGAAAUUUUCAGCAAAUUCCCUUUACAUUAUCUAGUUUUUAGCUAUUAUAGUGAGAACUGUCAGCUCUUUGUCUAAUCUCCCAUAAUGCAUCUUUAAAUCGUAAGAUGUUGGAUAUUGCCCGACAAAUGUAAAUAAAAAAAUACCAGUUGUUUAAAUUCCCGAGGCGACAGUCAGAUCGUGGAUGUAAUUUAUAUUUGUACGGCAUUAAAAGUAAGUUGGUGAACGGAAUCAUUAAUAAGAUGUCGUAAAGAUUGGAUUAAUAUAGAUUUGUGACAAGGCAUUGUUAUUAUGUAGGGAGACAUUAAUAAUAAAUAUACUUAACUUAAUCGUGGCGUCAGCUGGGACGGAAAUUCUCCAAUAUAUAUAUUUGAAAAUAUAUCAAUAAGUGUGCUAUAAAAACGUUUCAACGUUAUAAGGGGUCUUUUGCGAUUUGUAAUCCCAUCUGAUCGACUAGACACUGUUCAAUAUAUCAAUAAGUGUGCUAUAAAAACGUUUCAACAUUAAAAGGGUCUUUUGCGAUUUGUAAUCCCAUCUGAACGACUAGACACUGUUCAAUAUAUCAAUAAGUGUGCUAUAAAAACUUUCCAACGUUCAAGGAAUCCUUUCCGAUUUGUAAUCCUAUCUGAACGACUAGACACUGUUCAAUAUAUCAAUAAGUGUGCUAUAAAGACGUUCCUACGUUCAAGGAAUCCUUUACGAUUGGUAAUCCCAUCUGAACGGGAGGGGGGGGGGGGCUGAAUGGUAGCGUGUGCGCGCUGUAUCAUAAAGUCUGACAUUGAGUCAACUGGUGUGGUUUCGAAUCCCCGGUUGUACGUGACAAGGAGUAGGGUCGCCUGUCCAACCUCGUGGGUUUUCUCCGGGUCCUCCGGUUUCCUCCCAUUGCUAAAGACCCCUACGCGCAAGCGAAUUAUUGAAAUAAAAUUAAACCAUAUGUUAGUCCCGAAAUGACCUAGUUUGUGUCGAGUGGACGUUAAACCCCAUUUCUCUCUCUCUCCCAUCUGAACGACUAGGCGUUGUUCUUCGUCAGACCAUUCGUCCUGUAUACCAAUGACAAGAGGUAAUUGAACCAGUUAAUCUCGAUGUACUUUAAAUUCUUUGUCAACACCAGGAUCGAACUCGUGACCUCCUGUUUAGUGAGUUGGAUCCUAACUCACGGAACCACAUCGUUAAUUGUAACACGUCGUUAAACAUAUUGGUAGUCAUCAUAGUUAAUUGGUGAAAUGGAAUGAAAUGAAAUAGGGUUUCCCGUCUUCAUUAGCCCAAUCGGUGCAGAACGGUAGGAUGUUAAACCCCAUUUCUUUUCAUUUCAUUUUGAAAUGGGGUUUAACGUCCUUCUGUUCUGGCCGACUGGGCUAACCAAGACGGGCAUACGCAUUACAGUGUGCUAUGAGGGCAAUUUAGUCCCGAGAGCUGCGCUACGGGCUAAGCUUAUAUCGAAUUCCAGCUGCCAAGGUGUAUUGUUGUUUCCAGUUUGUCAAUCCAGAAUUUUCUUCUUGUUAGUCCAAACGUUUUAAUUUCUUCUGGGGUUUCAAAGUCGCUCUUAGUCUUUUCUAUUGGUGUCACAAUGAGAUCAAAAAUGUCAUGAUUACGUGCUUUUGGGGUCUCCCCUACGUAUUGUUUGUCACAUUGUCUACAUGAAAUUAGAUAAAUUAAGUUUGAACUGCUGCAUGAAAGUUGAUCUAAUAUUGGGAAUUGUGUGACAGAUGUUUUGUUGCGGAACUGGUCGGAUAUGUUUCUGAUUUUGUAUGUUUGGCAUCUGGGAUGGCCAGAAGGUUUGGUUUUAACUGCUGAUUGCAUAUUGUUUUUUCUUUGACGGCAAGUUCAGCUAUAGAAUCGUUUUUUAUACGUUAGAAAUACAAUUUGGGGUAUCAUCUUUCUCUUAAUGUGCUAAAUACCAGCGUACAUGCUGACUCAAAGUCGGCCUUCUGAGUAUUUUUCAAAGAAACCGAUACACAUCAAUGACUGUUCAUAUAUGGAAACGGAGAAUCUGAGAUUUUAUGAUGCCAGAGAACGUAUGCUUGGUUGAAUGGAGCAUUUGAACAGUAAUUGAUGUGUAUCGGUUUCUUUGAAAAAUACUUUAGUUUCCAACUGACCAGUGUUGUUGGUGUUACUACUUUUGGAAACGGUGUUGUCAGGAAAAUCUAUGCUGUUAUAACUUACAUUUGCGAUUAAUUUGACAAAUGGAUGAUAAUUGUUCAUAAUGUUAAAAAACGUCCAAAAUUCGUCAAGUGUGUACGACCAGACUAUGAAAACGUCAUCUAAAAUAACCUCCAAAGAAAUCUGGUUUUAAGGGGCCAUUUUCCCACUCCGCCAUAUUUGCAUAACUCGAGGCAAAUCGUUUUCCAUAUCGCUGUUCCGGAAGACUGAAAGUAUACUUGGUCGUUGAAUGUGCAGUCAUUCCUCCUCAGACAGAGGUCGAGUAAUUUGAGGAUUUCUUCGUCCGGUACUCUGGUCUGGGUGCUUGAGGGUUCCUAAGAAAUACCUACAUAACUGCUUUAAUACCUGCGUUAUUAUCGAUGUUCGUGUACAUGCUCUGUACCUCGAUGGAUAUUAAAAUGGUGUGUUCAGGGACUCUUAAUUGUUUGAUUUUGAGAAUAAAAUCGUUGAUGCCUUUAUGGUAGCAUGCGUGUUGGCUUGCUAGUGCUAGUAAGAAAAGGUCUAUAUAUUCUGAUGCGUUGUAUGAUUCGCUGACACAGUCUGAUAUUAUUGGGCGUCCCUUGGGUAAUUUAUUAGGUAUAAACCAUUCUUUUUCUGGAUUCUUGUGUAUUUUUGGUAGCGUUGAAUGUCGUUGUCGGCAGUCAGAUUUAGCGGAUAGAUAAUCAUAUUGUUUUGCUGUUAUGUAUUCCUUGUCUUGCAAUUCAUGUAAAAUGUUGUUUAUUAAGUUUGUGGUGUCCUUAAAGAUGGGUUGAUCUAAUUUAGUGUAAUGGUUAGGAUAACUUUAUUGUUUUUCGGCCUCUGAGAUAUUGUCUGUGUGAUUCAUUAUGACACAACACGAGCCUUUGUCGCUUUUCUUGAUUAUUAUGUUUUUGUCUUUUUUGAGGGUAUUUAAUGCUGUUUUUGCGGCCCGGUUGAGAUUUGAUAUUUGUGAUCUUGGUUGACGGGAUGACAUUUCUGUGUUCAUUUGGUCGAAAGUGCUGGUGAUAAUGAAUUGAUCGGUGGUUUCCAUGUACAUUUUUCUGUGAAUAAUUUUCUACCUCUGCCGGGUGUGUUCCUAAAAAAAAUAAGUCAGUGAAAGAGUUCUUUGAAAGCGAUCAGUUGCCUGAAAUAUGGGGUCUAUGGGUGUUAUUGUUGGAGUUAGAAUAAACUUGAGGCCUUUGUCAAGUAUGCUAAGUUCUAGGGGGCUGAGAAGUCUGUCGCUCGAAUUUACUGUCUGUCCUAAAGAAGGCUUCAUUUUUCUUUUCUCUGAUUCUAGUUCAAAUUCCCCAUCCAGCAGUUGAUGAUCUUGCUCGCCGUGUCUGGGCUCCGGUGGAUAGCGUCGUUUCCUUUCAAUUCUACUUUGCCCUUGAAGCUUGGUAGUGUGGUGGCGUUUGGUGAAGGUGCAGUGGAGAUUAAUUGGUUGUAGCUGGUGAUGUUUUGGUAGGCGAUCUGAUGUCUAGACGGAAUUGGGAAGAAGUGGGGAUCUGUGUGGUAAAGAGCUUGGUUGUUAGGAAAACUGCUCUUGUCACCGCGAGCAGAUAUAGCAUCUGCUCGUGUAUCCUUGAUCCAGCUUCCUUCCUGUUGUUGAGUCCGACCUUUGACCAAAUUUGAAGUUGGCCAUAUCAAAUAUAGAUCUAACUGUGUUUUAAGAUUUAGGUUAAUUGUCCAGACGUUAAUUCCUUGUACUGAACUUAUUUGUCAGAAAUAUAAAAAUUUAACGGGAAACAAAAAAUAAAUGAAGUUAAUCUACUUUCGAUCCGGCAACCUCAAUCGAUACAUAAUUGAAACAACGUUGACAAUAGCAACUAUGUGCGUGUUUGAUGGAAGCAAAAAUCUCAAUAAAUCCAAAUCGGGAAUCACUUUGAAUUCCAGGGGAGGGGUGGGGUGGUUAACGCGUGGUCGUUGCAUCAAAAGGUGUGUCAUUAAAGUGAGUGGCAUGGUUUGGAUUCCCCCACUUGUACUUGACAAGGAGUAGAGUCAUCCGGUUUCCUCCCACUGCAAGCGGAUUAUUGUUAGUCCCGAAAUAACCUAGUUUGUGUCGAGUGGACGUUAAACUCUGCUUAGCACGCGGGUUUUCCUGUGGGGGGUGGGGUCUACCCGGCCUUGAGUAAGCGUACACCCACGGCCACGAGAUUGAGAAUACGCCCCUAUGUCAAAGUCACACACGCUAGGGCGACACUAUAGAUCACUAGGUCAUCCCAACCCGCCUGUAACCUUGCGUUUCUAUGGAUAGUGUUUAUGGCUCAAGAUUAAAAGGGGCACAACUCCUGUUUAUAAAUAUUAAUGUGUAUAAAUAUAUGUAUCUAACUUUGACGGUUUGUGUUUUUUGUUGUUUAUUUUGAAAAACCAAAGAAUACAAAAUACAUUCGUGAAUAUAUUUAAAUGUAGUUUUUGUUUCGUAUUAAAUUAACGUCCAUUUAUUUUGUCGUAACACCUUUAACCAAUAUGAUUAGAUGCUCUAUGUAUGAUUUAUUGUUUUAUUUAUUUGUGUUAAUUCGUUGAAACGCCGCAUUGUAAUAAACCAAGUUUAUUUCAUGAUUAGAUCAGAUGUUUUUCCAAUUCGUUUUUCGUUUUCUUUUGUUUUCUAUUCCGUAUUUUAUAUCAUACCGGGAUUAAUUAAUUAAACGAAACGAAAUAAAUAUGUAAUUUAAUUAGUUUGACCGUGGCACUUCAUGUCAUUUGCGACUGCACAAAUAAAUCAUGAUCUAUUAUGCGCAUGUGUAAAUUUUGUGUGACGUGUUUACAUUACCUUAGGGUUAAACUGUGUGACAUUACAUCAAGGUUAAACUGUGUGAUUUGAUGAUAUAUUUGAACUAAAACAUAUUCAAACUAUCUGUCAAACGUUUGCUUCAGAUCCCUCUCAAAACAUUUUAAUCGGAAGAAAAAUACCCCAAGGUGCAAAAAUCUACAAUUUGUCGUUUCUUACUGUCCAUUUACCAUAAAUAUCGAAGCCUAAGUACAUUCUUGAAUUUCCGCCGUUAUCACAAGCUCUAGCCUUUCAACCAAGAAAACCAAGUGUCCCCUACGUCAUUCUAGCAGAAAGCAAGCGGACGACAUGUUAAUGGCCCCUUACAAUUUUCUCUUGUACGCGUCUCACGGGUGUUUUUCAGGGAAUCCAGUAUUUUCAUACACCAAAUCUGUCAUAUUUUUUAUUAGAAAUAAUUAUUCCAUAAAUACUUUCCUGGGAAUGCAACUUUAACUCAGAUCAUGAGUUUUAAUGAGAAUGCGCAUGUGCAGUCGAUAAUGAUAACUUUGUGUCUAUCAGUUGUUUUAUUAUGUAUUAGCCUAUUAUUAUUAUUUAUUUAGUUUCGACUUAAUAUCGACUAGCUUUAUAAUGAUUUUAUUGGAUUUUGUUGUCUUCUUUGAAAUAAUUUUUUUUAAAAAAAAACCCAAAACAACUACUGGGUUAACUUCCACUUCGUCUGAUAAUGGCGAAGCCUCGCCAAGAGUAAAUCCUGUAGAUGUUUUUUAAUAGAAAUUUUAAUUUGAAAUAUCCACUAAUGUAAUAUGAUAUAAAUACAAUAUAGAACUUUAUCGUUUAAUUUGAAAUAUCAUCCUCUGUAAUAUUCAAAUUGAAAGUCCCAAAAUAAAAAUAGUGUAAUAGUA